rnacentral:rRNA from 1 species
CAGUGAAAUUGAACUCGCUGUGAAGAUGCAGUGUACCCGCGGCAAGACGGAAAGACCCCGUGAACCUUUACUAUAGCUUGACACUGAACAUUGAGCCUUGAUGUGUAGGAUAGGUGGGAGGCUUUGAAGUGUGGACGCCAGUCUGCAUGGAGCCGACCUUGAAAUACCACCCUUUAAUGUUUGAUGUUCUAACGUUGGCCCGUAAUCCGGGUUGCGGACAGUGUCUGGUGGGUAGUUUGACUGGGGCGGUCUCCUCCUAAAGAGUAACGGAGGAGCACGAAGGUUGGCUAAUCCUGGUCGGACAUCAGGAGGUUAGUGCAAUGGCAUAAGCCAGCUUGACUGCGAGCGUGACGGCGCGAGCAGGUGCGAAAGCAGGUCAUAGUGAUCCGGUGGUUCUGAAUGGAAGGGCCAUCGCUCAACGGAUAAAAGGUACUCCGGGGAUAACAGGCUGAUACCGCCCAAGAGUUCAUAUCGACGGCGGUGUUUGGCACCUCGAUGUCGGCUCAUCACAUCCUGGGGCUGAAGUAGGUCCCAAGGGUAUGGCUGUUCGCCAUUUAAAGUGGUACGCGAGCUGGGUUUAGAACGUCGUGAGACAGUUCGGUCCCUAUCUGCCGUGGGCGCUGGAGAACUGAGGGGGGCUGCUCCUAGUACGAGAGGACCGGAGUGGACGCAUCACUGGUGUUCGGGUUGUCAUGCCAAUGGCACUGCCCGGUAGCUAAAUGCGGAAGAGAUAAGUGCUGAAAGCAUCUAAGCACGAAACUUGCCCCGAGAUGAGUUCUCCCUGAGACUUAGAGUCUCCUGAAGGAACGUUGAAGACGACGACGUUGAUAGGCCGGGUGUGUAAGCGCAGCGAUGCGUUGAGCUAACCGGUACUAAUGAACCGUGAGG